rnacentral:lncRNA from 1 species
ACGAAAGUAUAACAGGGGUUUUCGUCGUUCCUGUUAUAUUUAGAAUUCGGGGGGAAAGUCACUGGAUAAAGUCAACAAAACUAAGUUAAGCUUUACGAUGGUUUAUAUAUAACUUCUUCAAUAGUGCAAAACAUUAACUACAAUAAAAGUUCAACGGUAAAUAUUCCGGAAAGAUACAACAAAUGGUAAUUCCAAUAAAUGUUCUAUACUAAACACAAUGAAUGUCACUGUAAAUGCACGGCGUCCGUACAGCUUGACCGCUGGUAUCCAACUGACCAUUA